AGUCUGCAACCCGACUCCACGAAGUUGGAUUCGCUAGUAAUCGCGCAUCAGCCAUGGCGCGGUGAAUACGUUCCCGGGCCUUGUACACACCGCCGUCAAGCCAUGGGAGCCGGUAAUACCCGAAGUCAGUAGUCCAACCUCGUGAGGACGCUGCCGAAGGUAGGAUUGGCGACUGGGGUGAAGUCGUAACAAGGUACC
rnacentral:rRNA from 1 species